UACGUAGGCAGCGAGCGUUGUUCGGAGUUACUGGGCGUAAAGGGUGCGUAGGCGGUUGUUUAAGUUUGGUGUGAAAUCUCCCGGCUCAACUGGGAGGGUGCGCCGAAUACUGAAUGACUAGAGUGCGGGAGAGGAUAGUGGAAUUCCUGGUGUAGCGGUGAAAUGCGUAGAUAUCAGGAGGAACAUCGGUGGUGUAGACGGCUAUCUGGACCGUAACUGACGCUGAGGCACGAAAGCGUGGGUAGCAAACAGG
rnacentral:rRNA from 1 species